rnacentral:tmRNA from 1 species
GGGGACGAGCCGGGCAACAGAAUCGUCCCACC